AGCAGCCGCGGUGAUUCCAGCUCCAAUAGCGUAUAUUAAAGUUGUUGUGGUUAAAAAGCUCGUAGUUGAACCUUGGGCCUGGCUGGCCGGUCCGCCUCACCGCGUGUACUGGUCCGGCCGGGCCUUUCCCUCUGUGGAACCCCAUGCCCUUCACUGGGUGUGGCGGGGAAACAGGACUUUUACUUUGAAAAAAUUAGAGUGCUCCAGGCAGGCCUAUGCUCGAAUACAUUAGCAUGGAAUAAUAAAAUAGGACGUGUGGUUCUAUUUUGUUGGUUUCUAGGACCGCCGUAAUGAUCAAUAGGGACAGUCGGGGGCAUCAGUAUUCAAUUGUCAGAGGUGAAAUUCUUGGAUUUAUUGAAGACUAACUACUGCGAAAGCAUUUGCCAAGGAUGUUUUCAUUAAUCAGGAACGAAAGUUAGGGGAUCGAAGACGAUCAGAUACCGUCGUAGUCUUAACCAUAAACUAUGCCGACUAGGGAUCGGA
rnacentral:rRNA from 1 species